UGGGCUAAAUGAACCCUGCCUGUCCUGGU
rnacentral:piRNA from 1 species